rnacentral:ncRNA from 1 species
GGUGUUAGUUCAUCUAGACAGCAGGACGGUGGCCAUGGAAGUCGGAAUCCGCUAAGGAGUGUGUAACAACUCACCUGCCGAAUGAACUAGCCCUGAAAAUGGAUGGCGCUCAAGCGUGCUACCCAUACAUCGCCGCCAGGGUAGAUACGAUGCCCUGGCGAGUAGGCAGGCGUGGAGGCCCGUGACGAAGCCUUGGGAGUGAUCCCGGGUCGAACGGCCUCUAGUGCAGAUCUUGGUGGUAGUAGCAAAUACUCAAAUGAGAACUUUGAGGACUGAAGUGGGGAAAGGUUCCGUGUGAACAGCAGUUGGACACGGGUUAGUCGAUCCUAAGAGAUAGGGAAACUCCGUUUUAAAGUGCGCCUUGCGCGCCGUCCCUCGAAAGGGAAGCCGGUUAAUAUUCCGGCACCUGGAUGUGGAUUCUCCACGGCAACGUAACUGAAAGCGGAGACGUCGGCGGGGGCCCUGGGAAGAGUUCUCUUUUCUUCUUAACGGCCUAUCACCCUGAAAACGGUUUGUCCGGAGCUAGGGUUUAACGGCCGGUAGAGCCGCGCACCUUUGCGCGGUCCGGUGCGCUCCCGACGACCCUUGAAAAUCCGCUGGAAGGAAUAGCUUUCACGCCAGGUCGUACUCAUAACCGCAGCAGGUCUCCAAGGUGAAA